AACGUAGGAGACAAACGUUAUCCGGAGUUACUGGGCGUAAAGGGCGUGUAGGUGGUUUCGUAAGUCUGGCGUGAAAUUUUUCGGCUUAACCGGGAAAGGUCGUCGGAUACUGCGGGACUAGAGGACGGUAGAGGCGUGUGGAAUUCCCGGUGUAGCGGUGAAAUGCGCAGAUAUCGGGAAGAACACCCGUGGCGAAGGCGGUUCUCUGGGACGGUACUGACGCUGAGACGCGAAAGCGUGGGGAGCGAACAGG
rnacentral:rRNA from 1 species